GUGCACCAGGCGCGAAACCUCCGCAAUGCGGGAAACCGCGACGGGGGACCCCGAGUGCCGUGGCAACGCCACGGCUUUUCCGGAGUGUAAAAAGCUCCGGGAAUAAGGGCUGGGCAAGGCCGGUGGCAGCCGCCGCGGUAAUACCGGCGGCCCGAGUGGUGGCCGCUAUUAUUGGGCCUAAAGCGUCCGUAGCCGGGCCCGUAAGUCCCUGGCGAAAUCCCACGGCUCAACCGUGGGGCUUGCUGGGGAUACUGCGGGUCUUGGGACCGGGAGAGGCGGGGGGUACCCCUGGGGUAGGGGUGAAAUCCUAUAAUCCCAGGGGGACCGCCAGUGGCGAAGGCGCCCCGCUGGAACGGGUCCGACGGUGAGGGACGAAGGCCAGGGGAGCAAAACCGG
rnacentral:rRNA from 1 species